AUGCAUGCGUUAGGCAUGGAUGAUCAAAGAGGGCCACACGGCAAGGUCAGGACGCGACAUCACAACAAAGAUAGUACUACCAAACUAGAGAAUCAAACAAAUGACUCUGUGGGGGGCCACUUUAUUCGAAAAUCCGUUUUGUGUGGAUCUUAUGACGCAAAGCUCAUUUUUGGUAUCUCCAUUUUGAAUGAGCUUUGCGUCAUUUUUGUUCUUUGCUUCCUUUUGUCACAUGUUAUCAUCGACACGGAUUAUUCUUUCAUGUUUCCGGUCUUCACGAUAUUCCGAAGAAAGAACAUACCAGAAUGUUUCCUCUCAUAUGAUAAGAGUAGAUAUUCCUGA
rnacentral:rRNA from 1 species